rnacentral:rRNA from 1 species
UGUUAGCGGCGGACGGGUGAGUAACACGUGGGUAACCUACCUAUAAGACUGGGAUAACUCCGGGAAACCGGGGCUAAUACCGGAUAAUAUUUUGAACCGCAUGGUUCAAUAGUGAAAGACGGUUUCGGCUGUCACUUAUAGAUGGACCCGCGCCGUAUUAGCUAGUUGGUAAGGUAACGGCUUACCAAGGCGACGAUACGUAGCCGACCUGAGAGGGUGAUCGGCCACACUGGAACUGAGACACGGUCCAGACUCCUACGGGAGGCAGCAGUC